rnacentral:rRNA from 1 species
UACGAAGGGGGCUAGCGUUGUUCGGAAUUACUGGGCGUAAAGCGCACGUAGGCGGAUUUGUAAGUCAGGGGUGAAAUCCCGGGGCUCAACCUCGGAACUGCCUUUGAUACUGCAAGUCUCGAGUCCGAUAGAGGUGAGUGGAAUUCCUAGUGUAGAGGUGAAAUUCGUAGAUAUUAGGAAGAACACCAGUGGCGAAGGCGGCUCACUGGAUCGGUACUGACACUGAGGAGCGAAAGCGUGGGUAGCAAACAGG